rnacentral:rRNA from 1 species
GACGAACGCUGGCGGCGUGCCUAACACAUGCAAGUCGAGCGAACUGAUGAGGAUUUUGUUCCUCUGUCGUUAGCCGCGGACGGGUGAGUAACACGUGGAUCAUCUACCUAUAAGACUGGGAUAACUUCGGGACACCGGAGCUAAUACCGGAUAAUAUAUUGAACCGCAUGGUUCAAUCGUGAAAGACGGUUUUGCUGUCACUUAUAGAUGGUUCCCCGCCGGCUUAGCUAGUUGGUAAGGUAACGGCUUACCACGGCGACGAUGCGUUGCCGACCGGAGAGGGGGGUCGGCCGCACGGGAACUUGGAACCGGACCAGGGUCCUACGGGAGGCAGCAGUCGGCAAUGGUGCGCAUUGGGCGAAAGCCUGACGGAGGAGGGCGGCGUGAGUGAUGGAGGUCUUCGGAUCGUGAGACGCUGUUAUUAGUGGAGAACAAAUGUGUAAGUAACUGUGCAGGGCGUGACGGUAACUAGUAAAAAAGCCACGGCUAACUACGUG